rnacentral:tRNA from 1 species
GGAGUUGUGGCUCAGCGGUAGAGCUCUUGCCAGGCAUGAGCAAGGUGCUGGGUUCGAUCCUCAGCUCCA